AACGAACGCUGGCGGCAGGCUUAACACAUGCAAGUCGAACGCAUCCUUCGGGGUGAGUGGCAGACGGGUGAGUAACGCGUGGGAACGUGCCCUUCAGUUCGGGAUAACCCAGGGAAACUUGGGCUAAUACCGGAUACGUGCGAGAGCAGAAAGAUUUAUCGCUGAAGGAUCGGCCGGCUUCUGAUUAGCUAGUUGGUGGGGUAAUGGCCCACCAAGGCGACGAUCAGUAGCUGGUCUGAGAGGAUGAUCAGCCACAUUGGGACUGAGAAACGGCCCAAACUCCUACGGGAGGCAGCAGUGGGGAAUAUUGGACAAUGGGCGCAAGCCUGAUCCAGCCAUGCCGCGUGAGUGAUGAAGGCCUUAGGGUUGUAAAGCUCUUUCGUCCGGGACGAUAAUGACGGUACCGGAAGAAGAAGCCCCGGCUAACUUCGUGCCAGCCGCCGCCGUAA
rnacentral:rRNA from 1 species